rnacentral:rRNA from 1 species
AUGCAUGCGGAAGUCAUUGUUGUGACUAUGAAGUCAUGGGAAUCUCACGUGGAGAGCAAUACCAGUGGUGCUCAUAUAGCUUCCCAAGAGUCCUACACAAGUGCACAACGUAGGAUGAGCGCACACCUUUCCGAGAUGAAGGAAACCACAGAAAGAGAAGGAGGGCCGCGGAUGGUGGAUGGGAUGCAAAGGUCGAUAAAUUCCUCUACACAAUGUUGA